AUUGAACGCUGGCGGAAUGCUUUACACAUGCAAGUCGAACGGCAGCACGGACUUCGGUCUGGUGGCGAGUGGCGAACGGGUGAGUAAUGUAUCGGAACGUGCCCAGUCGUGGGGGAUAACGUAGUGAAAAUUACGCUAAUACCGCAUACGAUCUAUGGAUGAAAGCGGGGGAUCGCAAGACCUCGCGCGAUUGGAGCGGCCGAUCGCAGAUUAGGUAGUUGGUGGGGUAAAGGCCCACCAAGCCAACGAUCUGUAGCGGGUCUGAGAGGACGACCAGCCACACUGGAACUGAGACACGGUCCAGACUCCUACGGGAGGCAGCAGUGGGGAAUUUUGGACAAUGGGCGAAAGCCUGAUCCAGCCAUUCCGCGUGCAGGAUGAAGGCCCUCGGGUUGUAAACUGCUUUUGUACAGAACGAAAAGGUUUCUACUAAUACUAGGAGCUCAUGACGGUACUGUAAGAAUAAGCACCGGCUAACUACGUGCCAGCCGCCGCGGUAA
rnacentral:rRNA from 1 species